AGCUGCUGGUAUAAAUGAGCUGCUGGUACUAUUUGUGGAUUCUUAGAUGGUGAGGCUAGCAGAACCUCUGAUGUCUUGGUUUAUGACUGGACAGUGAACACCUAAAUGCCUUGUUUGGAUCGCAUAUUUUCUCGCAUUAUAGGUUUUCUCAUGCUUUCGUGCCUUAGGCUUUUUUUUUUUUUUUAAAGACAUGCCAAUAAGAUUCUUCUUGUGUAUUCUCAUGUAAGGAGCACACUUAUCUCCCUUAAAUUUGGGUCCAAAUUUAUUGGCCGCACCUCAUGCACAAAUAAGAAGUAACAUUUUACAUGCAUUGAAAAACAGCCAUGCUUGUUUUCGUAUGCAACAGUGAUGAGGAGUCUUAUUUUAGCCUUGUUUGCUACCUCAUUUUUUUAUCAUUGGCUUGUAAACUGUGAUGAUGGAGCAGCUGAAGUUGAGAAAAUUGCACUUUUCUAGUGUGCUGUUGGUAAAAAUCAUUUUUCGAGAUGGGCAUUUCCGCCGCAAAUUGCAGGGCUUUCUGUUGACGCAGCACAGCUCUCUGGGCACUGUAGUAAAGAUGUGAAAUCAGAGUUUCAGAUGGCUGCAGGGCAAUUAGUGCAAUAAUGUAAGUGAGCAAAAAAAUGAAAACCGAGUUUGUGAUUUGUUACUGCAGGCAUGUAGCUAGCAGGGUGCGCGCCUGUUGGCUGCCGUUGGCUGCCACAGAUUUCGAUCGUGUGUGAGCUGCACAUUUAUUUGUCCUGAUGACACUUGGCAAUUAUAGCGCUCUUCAAGGUCUGCAUGACUGGCCUGCUUCUUUUUAAGUGCCCUUGCUGCUGCAGAAUAGUGACUGGGAAAUGAUUUGUGCAAGAUAAGGGAACCCGUUUGCAUUUCUUUUUCUUCAAUAAAUUUUUUUCCGGCAGUGAAGCUAUGUUGUAUUGUAAGAGGUUUCUCUGUGCUAAAGCUUGUCAAAAUGACCUAAGAAACCACCCGAAAGAACAAUCGCUGAGCUGCCUUGUCCUUAAAGAAUGUGAAGGACCUGACGUCAGGAAGUACCUAUUUGACAGUGGUAAAAAAACGAGGUAAAGUUAGUAACAGGAGCCUAAAAUAAAAACUGUGGUUACAGAAUUAAAUGUUGAUAUGUAAAUGGCUCAAAGAUACAGUAUUGUUGAAUGUACUUUUCAAAAUGGCAGUAAGUUGUAUUGAAAAAAAAAUGAAAAAAAAAGGGGGGCGGGGGAAAGAAACAUAUUUUUAAAGUGAAACCCUUCCCCCUUCAUCUUCUUUCGCAAGAUGUCCACCCCACAAAAAUUUCAUAGGAGUACUCUGGCCCCGCCAAUAAAUCACUUCCUUGAUGCAAGAGUCGCUGACACUAUCUGGAGAAAGGAAUCAAAAUUGAGCCUUGGAAUAAAAAGUGACACGAGUCUGCCAAAUUGUUCAUUGAAAACUUGUAUAGCAUUAUUGGAUCAGAUAAAUCUUUUUAUGAAGGUACGUGAUAAUUUUUUUCUUUAUUCUGAAGAAUUCAUGGGUACUAAGAAAGGAAAAGAAAGCAGUAAAGAUUCACUGUAUUGCUCGGAUGAUGGCCCCAGCAAGUCUAUUUUCAACAAUCUACACUUAUGCUUGGUGCAAGAAAUGAGUUUCACUCAGCCUUAGUUAACUCAAGGCAGAGCGGAGGUAUAUCUUGAGAUCACUCUUGUACUGUGCAUUUGCAUGCAAACUUGACUGUUACACUGUAUCCUUUAGCUCCAAAUUCGACCUCUUUAAUACCUUGAACUUGCCCCGACAGCAUUCGGUAGAACGAAAAAACACUUCGAGUUGAAACCAAGCUGCAAACCACAGAGCAAGCUACUUACUUUGGAAUGAAAGUUGCCGAUAUUCUAGUUAAGAUUAAUCAUUGGGCAGAUUACGUAAUGUGUAGAUUGGGUAGCCGGUUGUCUAUUGUCGGAAGUGAGUAAUAACUGAAUGUUUAUCAAGGGAAGGGCAUUGCAGUCAAGGACGGUAGAGGAUUAGUUGGUGCAAUGUGACUAGGAAAUUGGCAGGCAUGGGGCACAAUUGGCUAAUGCCAGAUGGACAAAAAAUGCGUCAGAUCCAAUGCACCUUAUUGGAAUAUUCAUACAGCAAAGCUUUAUUUAAAUGCAUAAAGAGUGCUGAAACCUGUCCUAGUUAUGGCGAUGUUAGUGCACCGUAGGCCCUCGCCCAAACCACAUCAUGCACACCUGCUCUAGAGCUAGUUGGCGUUGGCAUGAUAGAGUGAAAUCUUGAUAGGAUCUUCGUGGCGAACUGGAAAAAUAAUCCAAAAAUAGUAUUAUCCAAAGCGAGCUCCAAAAUGUGUGAAAACAGGCUUGGUGUCGAACUCGCUAGCAAAGCUUCCUGUGGCAUUGAGUGGUACUGCCCCACAUAACAUGCACGUUAAGCGGAGCAGCAUCACACCUACUGCAGCCAACACACUUUUAUUCAGCAACUUUAAAAUAUCUCGGCAGUUUUCUUUGAACGUUAUUUUUUUUUAAUGUCCGUAAACAAGUUCUUUUGGAAGUUAAAAAAAGAAACUACCGUUUCCUUACUCAACUGAGCAUUUGCGAUGAAGCCCCGAAGAGUGUCUAACGCUGAGAGUGUAUCGCCAGCAGUUGGCCACCGAUUGCCUCAGAAGCUGAUGCGAGCAGACGAUACUAUGAAACAAGCGGUUCGGCUGACAUCAAAUGAGAGUACGAAAAUCCGCAUGACACCAUUUACCUGUGUGUACGUCAGUGAAGAGGCAGCUCUAAGUGGUCUCCUUUGCUCGUGGCUUAUUUAUCGCCACAGCACGCUGCAAUUUAAAGGCCGGAGUACAUGGAGCGAAUAACCGGCGUCCGCGUGACGAACUUCGUUGGGCGGCGAAUAACCGACGGCCGGCGUCAAGAAAUUUGCCGUCCGCAGCCGAUCUGCCUGUCCAGACAUUUUCGUCCGGCGAACGCCGCCGCCGGAAGCGUCUAGCGCGCAGCGGUGGACGAUAGCCAAUCAGGAGGCACUAGUUCCUGUCGCAAUGCAUGCUGGUGUUUCGCGCGCGCGCGCCUUUUCGUGUCGUCUGCAAUCGUGUUGGUGUUGCCGCGUCUGCAUGUCUCUGCACCAAUUGAGUAGUUCCCAGUAUGAUCUCUCGGGAAUCGUUUGUAUUUGUACAUCCCAUAUCCGCUGAUCUGCGGGGAAACAGACAAGCACUGCAAGCUCUCUACAACCACCUUCAACAGAAAUCUUCUGAUCUCAGAGGCCGCAUGCUGUCGUCAUGCCUAUCUCCCGACUUCCCCAAUAGAUGGCGCUGGCAUCGGAUAUUUCUUUCGUUAGGCUUAGACGCGUUUGAAACGAGAAGCGAUCUUGAAAACUACUCAAGGUUAUCCAUAAUACUCUGUCGUAGAAGCGGCCUGAGACUAAGCGAAAGCCGUUUACGCAGUCAUUUGCUACCAACGAAGUGAAUUCUACAAGGACAAGGCCAAAUUCAGUUCGAAGCAGGCGGCCGGGACCACAGCCAACACGGCGGCCAACGCGCGGCGGCGUUCGCCGCAUGUAUCGCGACACAGCGAACAUUCUGCGUCAUAUCGCCGCGUCGUUACUUGACGCGUGAAGUUCGUCGAGAAAGUUCGCUCCAUGUAUCCCGGGCUUAAAUCGAUCCAGGACCGAUCCCUCCUGCGGCACAAAAAACCUGCUUUGCGGCAGCUUUUGUGGCGUGGGCUUUUUGCCACAGCCAACGGACAGUGCGCGUUUUUCCGUUAGUGUGGGUGGCCCAUAACACGUUCGUGGAUCGUCAGAAUGUAAUUUAAUCUGGUACACUUGAAUACAAAACUACGAGUUUCUGAAAUAUCAGUUUGCAGUCGUAUUAUCCAAUUUCAGGUGAAAACGCGAUCGUAUUAACUGUAUGAAAAUACAUUCUCCUGUGGGCUGGUGGUCGGGAAAAGGAGAAAAAAAAAGUAUUAUCCCGAAAAACGUGUUACACAGAAAUCUCAUCGAGAUUCCACUGUAUUAGUGCGAUUGUCUCCUAAUAUUUAGAGCGUCUGGAUGGUAGCAGCUUAAUGGUGAGCUGUAAUUUUAUGUUUUCACGGCAUGCUCCAACUCGUGUUCAUUAUACAAUUGAAACUCCAUAUUUAAAAAAAUUCCAUCUGGCAUCAAAAUAAUUUCGUUAUUAGCAUAUAUUCAUUACUUGCUUAUAUUGAUACGAACCAUUUUAAAUGUGCUUUAUUAUUCGUGUAAAUACGGUAUAUCCAUGAUCAUAUUUAGGUUCAACUGUACUUUAUUAUAUUGCAUUCGCACUUUUUUUUUUUUCAAGCUUAUUUCAAUAUAAAGAUCUCGUUUAAAAAGCAACGGGUCCUUUUUCAGAGUGGAACAGCAGAACAUUGACAUCCUUCAUUGCAUGGUGGGGCGCAUAAGUACCCUUGUGUGCUUGCGAAACUGAGGAGUCCCCAGUGUUUUGCAGUAUCCAAAUACCAUCAACUGUUUACAGCUGAUAAUGUCUUCUCGGGAUGUCGGUGCUGUCAGAUGAGGGUUACUAGCAUGACUUGGCUUCAGCUUGGUAAUUGCGAAGACAAGAGACAGUUCAACAGAAAAUAACAAAAAUGCGUAUUCUUAACAAUUUUUUGUGCACUUUGUUUAGCGCUCUGUGUUCACUACUUUCCUGUCAGGACCGUUAUGUCACACUGAUAUGUGCAUGCUGUUUGUUACCUGGAAGUAUUAGGCACACAGCGUUAAAUGAAAGGUACAUAAGGUGAUCUUUGUUUGGGGACAAGUGUUAUAUGUUUCUUUGUGUAUAUAUGUCAUUUUAUAAGUUAUUCACGAGGUGUUAAAGCAUAACCACAUGAGAAUUGCCUUGAUAAAUGUAAUUAACUUCUUAAAGCUUGGGCUGAACAUGUCAGCUUCUCUCCUAUCCCACUUGGCUAUUAUUUUGCCAGAUUAUCACAGAUUCUUGCAUAGGAAUGCAUGAACUUAAAAAAGAAAGACUUGGUGAUUUCUAUGGCAUUUUCUACAUAGCCGCUGCAGGGUUGUAAAUAUAAGAUAACAUU